UUGGUCAUUUAGAGGAAGUAAAAGUCGUAACAAGGUUUCCGUAGGUGAACCUGCGGAAGGAUCAUUAUUGAAAUAAACCUGAUAAGUUGUUGCUGGUUCUCUAGGGAGCAAUGUGCACACUUGUCAUCUUUGUAUCUUCACCUGUGCACCUUUUGUAGACCUGAUUAUCUCUCUGAAUGCUUUGUAGCACUCAGGAUUGAGAAUUGACUUCUUGUCUCUUCUUAUAUUUUCAGGUCUAUGUUUAUUCAUAUACCCUAAUGUAUGUUUAUAGAAUGUUAUUAAUGGGCCUUUGUGCCUAUAAACCUUUACAACUUUCAGCAACGGAUCUCUUGGCUCUCGCAUCGAUGAAGAACGCAGCGAAAUGCGAUAAGUAAUGUGAAUUGCAGAAUUCAGUGAAUCAUCGAAUCUUUGAACGCACCUUGCGCUCCUUGGUAUUCCGAGGAGCAUGCCUGUUUGAGUGUCAUUAAUAAUAUCAACCUUUUUGGUUGGAUUUGGGUUUGCUGGCCUCUUGAGGUCAGCUCUCCUUAAAUGCAUUAGCGGACAACAUUUUGCCAACCGUUCAUUGGUGUGAUAAUUAUCUACGCUAUUGACGUGAAGCAAGGUUCAGCUUCUAACAGUCCAUUGACUUGGACAACACUCUUUUUAUUAAUGUGACCUCAAAUCAGGUAGGACUACCCGCUGAACUUAAGCAUAUCAAUAAGCGGAG
rnacentral:rRNA from 1 species